ensembl:lncRNA
UUAUGUUUAUUUUUUAUUGGCACGACAUUCAUUUGUACAUUAGAAGUGUUGUAUUUCAGCCCCUGAAAAGUCUAGUGGUCUUGUACGCCCAUAAUGUGUACAGUCAGUGUACAUUCAUUAAUAGGGGAUGACAGUAUGUCAGUUCCCUUUAUCAUGCUCAGUGAAUUCUUUCAAACAGCCCAUCUUGGAGCUCUUCCACACUGCCAUAACCAAGUGUUGCUUGGUUCUCCCCCAGCGUUUAAUCUGAAAGAAGAGGGAUCAUUAAAAUAGAUGGAAAUAGCAGAUCAAGAGAAGCAAACUGGUUGGGAUCGAGCCUCAGGUAAAUUGUAGAAUCAAGGGCUGCGUAAGCAGCGCUCAUACGAGGUGUCAGAAAUAAAGAGUUUGUCAUCAAGGGCUACAUAUGAGGUAUGACCGUGCAUGCAUCAACUUACUAUAGUAAGCCAACACCAGUCUUGAGGUGGUGGUGAAUAUGAGUUCUGCCUCUCCUUCCCAGUACAAGCGCAUGUCUGCAAGGCUGCGGAAAUGGAACCAGGAGGUGAAUUAAGAGGCUAUUCUGUGGCAUAAACGUGCACCAGUGGUGAUUGAUAAAGCCUCAGAAAUUAAAACAGAGCAUUGUGCUAUUGACUAGCCAUCAUACAAGGCGUCAGUAAUUAAGGUGGUCAUCAGUGGCGACAAAUGAUGAGAUACACGUUAUCACUUGAAGUAGCUUACCAGAGUCAAACAGCACUGAUCCAAACUACAGCCAGCUGAGGGAAAAGUGAAAUGGGAUUAGUUCACCACCAAGCUUUGAACAGAAGAUACUGGGUUUAUAGGAGCCUCAGAAUAUAAAAAAAUCACUGGAGCCAAUACUGGCUCUCAUACGAGGUGUCAGAAAUAAAGAGUUUGUCAUCAAGGGCUACAUAUGAGGUACGACCGUACAGGCGUCAACUUACUAGAGUAAGACAUCCAAGUCUUGAGGUGGUGAAUAUGUGAUCUGCUUCUCCUUCCCUAAACAACAAGCGUAGUCGGAACCAGGAGGUGAAUUAAAAGGCUAUUCUGUGACAAAACGUGCACCAGUGGUGAUGCUAAAGCCUCAGAAAUUAAAACAGAGCAUUGUGCUAUUGACUAGCCAUCAUACGAGUUGUCAGCAAUAAAAGAUAGUCAUCAGUGGCUCCAUAUGAAUAUAGACGUACGACGACGUUUGCCUCAACUUACCAUUGUCAGUCAUCAGCGUCUAGGAGGUCUAGCCGUUUAAUUGGGUUUCGUAACCACAUGCUCUCUUCUGGAAGCCUGUGGAAAUGCAAGAUUUUAACCAAAACGCCUAUAUCUGACAUUAAGAAGAAGUGAAGAACUGCCGAUAAGGCCUCAGAAGAUAAAUAGAAUCACAGGAGCUAAUGAAUAGCUCUCAUACGAGGUGUCAGAAAUAAAAAGUUUGUCAUCAAUGGCUAGGCAAAGCACCGCAAGACAAUGUCUUACUGGGAAGGCCUACCUUUAUUGGAUGCAGUUUCCCCACGGACCCCG